rnacentral:misc_RNA from 1 species
GAACCCCAAAGCUUCUGCCUCAUUUUCUGAGCAGCUAGACACUGCGGAUACUUCCUUCAUAUUCGUAAUGACCACUAUCAAUCUCCGCAAGGGCAAUACCCGCCUUCCGCCGGAGGUGAACAGAGUCCUCUACGUACGAAACCUUCCCUUCAACAUAUCGAGCGAAGAGAUGUACGAUAUUUUCGGCAAGUACGGGGCGAUUCGCCAAAUACGGAUCGGCACUAACAAGGAUACGCGAGGGACGGCCUUUGUAGUCUACGAGGAUAUCUACGACGCCAAAACGGCCGUGGAUCACUUGUCGGGUUUCAACGUUGCAAAUAGGUAUUUGAUCGUUUUGUACUAUCAGCAGGCCAAGAUGAGCAAGAAGUUUGAUCAGAAGAAGAAGGAGGAGGAGAUUGCUAAGAUGCAGGAGAAAUAUGGGGUUUCUACAAAAGAUAAGUAAACUCUUUAAUUCGAAUGAAAACAAACCUCAUAAAAUUUACUUCUGUAUUUGGGAAUUUUGUGGUUCUCUUCUUAUUUGGUUAAUGUAAUGUAUAUUUUGUUAUGGCCGGUAUUGCUUUAUCAUCUACGUUCUUUUAAUUUUAGGGUGUGAUGUACUGUUUGUUAUGAACUUGUACAUUGUGAAUGAUAUGUUAGUAAUUGGAAA